UGGAGAUGAAGAAGACGAUGAUAGUUGCAGUUUUCAUUUUCUGUGUUAUCAGUUCACAAUGGAAAGCGUCGAGCCACAGGUGGAUUGCUUCGACGCUUGUUCUACCGGUUGCCCUCUAACCAACGAUAGGCUUAGGCAGCGUUGUGAAGGCAAGUGCCGGAUUAGAUGCGGUCCAGAUUCCAUGGCAGAGGGGAAUUUGGGUUAGCACCAGGAAGAUCAAAAUCUGCAUACACGUAAAGCAUGGUUUCUAUCUGUUGUUCUAUGCAUGUUAGCAUAUAAGAAA